ACUUCGGAAGCUCCCUCGAACGGGAUCCCGAAGCGGGUGCGAGGCCCGUACCGAGGUCGCGCCCGUCGGUUUGAGCCUCCGUAGAGUCGGGUUACUUGAGAGUGUAGCCCAAAGCGGAAGGUAAACCCCUUCUAAGGCUAAAUACGACCGCGAGACCGAUAGCGAACAAGUACCGCGAGGGAAAGUUGAAAAGAACUUUGAAGAGAGAGUUCAAAAGGGCGUGAAACCGCUUAGAAGAAAACGGACGGAACCGUCUGACGCCCUCGGGAAUCAGUCGAACGACGCGCGAACGCGUCUCGAUCGUCGGAGCGUAAAAGUCCGGCUCGAGGCGUCUAGUAGUCGCGUUUGUAAGGCGCAUUUCUCGAGGGUUAGCGCCGCGACCGAUGCGAACGGCCGACGACGCCGUCGAGUUGAGGUCGAACGCCCUUCGCGGGUAUUCGUAACCAGCUCGUUCGGUAGACGUAUAUAUUGUCGGAUCUAUAGGAGCAUCGAGCGAAUACUAUAAAUACGUCGGCGUAAAACGCUCGACGAGCGGCGGAGACUCGGCCAGUCGUUCGGUACCUGCUCGCAGGUGCUCGUUCGGCGCGAGGUCGUUUCCCGAUGUCGCCGUCGACGCUACCGACGUUUAGGCGUCCGCGGCGUCCGAGUCGGCCACCCGUCCGACCCGUCUUGAAACACGGACCAAGGAGUCUAACGUACGCGCGAGUUAAUGGGUGGAAAACCCAUAAGCGCAAUAAAAGUAAAAGUCGUCCUAAGACGGCCGAGGUACGAUCCUAGACUACGCGUCUAGGCGCAGUACCGUCCCGUCCCGACCGCACGUCGGUAGGGCGGAGAUUGAGCGCGUUCGUUGGGACCCGAAAGAUGGUGAACUAUGCCUGAGCAGAGCGAAGCCAGAGGAAACUCUGGUGGAGG
rnacentral:rRNA from 1 species